UGGUCUGGUUUAUAUUCAGGAUGCACGUAUCAGCCGAUAAAAAUGGGACAGCAUUGUGUUGCCGUACUGUAACAUUUAAUUAAAAGCCAUGUGAACUAUGGGCGUUCUUUAUUGCUAAAGAUCUUUAAGAAAGAAGAAAAAAAAACCCUUCAUUUUCCAGAUACUUAUUGAACAAAUCUUAAUAGGAAUUCAAGUGAAUGAUUUGUUCUUCAACUUCUAGUUUGGUGAUUUAAAGUUAUUAUAAUGUAGACAGCACAGACUAGAUGAGUUGCUACUAUGUUGCCCAGGCUGGUCGCAAACUCCCAGGCUCAAGUAAUACUUCUCCUUCAGCCUCCCAAGUAACUUGGAACUACAGGUGCACAAACCACACCUGACAGCAUCUGUAUAUUAAA